rnacentral:rRNA from 1 species
ACCCCGCCAACAGCGAGGUCGGAGCUGUUCGACACCGACGACAGCGUUGGCGCCCCCCACAGGUUUCGGCGCAUGGGGGAUCUCCUCGGCGAGGCUGUGGCAACACCGCAACAGCCCGAGGAUGAGGACGCUGAUGACGACGAGGUCUUGCAUCUGAUGGCCGGCGAGGAGCCGACCACGUUCGCGGAGGCCGAGCAAGAGGAUUGCUGGCGCCACACGAUGCUGGACGAGCUGGCGUCGAUCAACGACAACGCCACUUGGACACUCACCACACUGCCUGCUGGGCACCGAGCCAUCGGGCUCAAGUGGGUGUUCAAGGUGAAGAAGGACGAGCACGGUGCCAUUGUCAAGCACAAGGCGCGCCUCGUCGCAAAGGGCUAUGUGCAGCGUGAGGGAGUGGACUUCGAGGAAGUCUUCGCUCCGGUGGCAAGGCUGGAGUCGGUGCGGCUCAUCCUUGCCGUGGCCGCUCACCGCAGGUGGGAGGUACACCACAUGGAUGUCAAGUUGGCGUUUCUCAACGGCGACCUUAACGAGGAGGUGUACGUCUCCCAGCCACCUGGGUUCGUUGCCAAGGGCCACGAGCAGGACGUGUAUCGACUACACAAGGCCCUGUACGGUCUCCGGCAAGCCCCAAGGGCGUGGAACGCCAAGCUUGAUGCAAGCCUCGCAUCCCUUUGGUUCUCACGCAGCGUUUCUGAGCAUGGUGUGUACUCGCGUGGCACCGCGAACACGCUGCUCAUCGUCGGCAUCUACGUCGACGACUUGGUCAUUGCCGGGGCAGAGCCUAAAGAGGUUCAACGCUUCAAGGGAGAGAUGCAUCGUCUCUUCAGCAUGAGCGACCUUGGGCUGCUCCGUUACUACCUCGGGCUGGAGGUGAACCAGGAGGGUGGUCGCAUCACGAUCACGCAGACGGCCUGCGCC